UAUUUACACCCAUCAGGAGUCCGAUCCCUCAGUCACCGUCAAAUGGUGCCCGGUGUGAGGAGCCAGGAGCUGCCCAGGCUGAGCGGCCGAUGGUGAGCCCCGCGGGACUGAGGUGCUGCUGAAAGGAAGCAGGAGCCGGCGAUCAAUCCCUCCAGGAUAAGGAGAAAACGGCCAAGGUGGAUCCCAGCAAAGAACGUGAGACCAUUCCAAGAAUCUCUGCGCGUUUCUUCGGAGGAUCCUGACCAUCCGGACAUCCCUUCCCUGAUUUCAUCUUCUUAGAUAGUCAGGCUCACCUCCACUAGGAGCCAGCAAAUCUCAAUUUUAACGGAUUCCAGAAGAGCAUAUAAAUUUUAUAUUAAUCUGUGAAAUGUAAUUUGUAUAUCGUUAAGAUUAUGAAUUAUUUAGUCAAAUUAAUUCUUCUAUUAGGAUUUAGUUUAGAGGGAAGGGAAACAGUUGUCUUGCCACCCUUCCCAGAAGGUAAUGUUUGGCUUACGUUGGCAGGAACCUUGAAUGAAUCUACAUUGUGCAUAUCCAUGACCUCCCCCAGUAAUCCUUUUCAAACUUGUUUGGUAGCUGUGCCUUUGAGUAAAAAUGAAUGGGAUAGCCUAUAUAAUUUGACGAUACAAAGAAACUGUACCACCCCGGGCAAGGCUGAACCAAAGUGGUGGUGUGAGCAAAAACACUCAUGGCCAGGCCAGCCGAGUGGCUGGUUUUUCAGCAAUAGUAGCGGUAUGGGAUUGGAUAAAAUUGGUGACUUCCCUGCUCUCCCUCUGCAACCCCAGGAAUUAGACAUUUUUGGAUCCACGCAGGCUUUUGCAUGUUUCUAUUUAAAUUAUUCAAGUGGAAUAUAUAUUAAUAAAAUUGGCAUUGAUGUUUCAGGAACAGGCAUCUAUGCCAAUGUCUCGGCAUGGUGCAGUAAUACUUUACCUUGACAAAUUACACCAGGAAAUGAUGCUGUUGGACUUGUAGGUAAUCUGUUUUUAGUAUGUGGAAAUAGGGCAUGGAAAGGAAUACCCAGAAAAGCUGUGGGAGGCCCUUGUACUUUUGGAAGGCUAACUAUGUUCCACUCUAGCAAGGUAAAUUUGACAUCUAUGAUUAAGAUGAGAAGAGGAAAACGAAGUGUGCAAAGGUUUGGCCCAGACUGCAAUGAUGAUGUUGAAUUUUUAAACCAUGGCCUAUGAGUACUUGCCUCCCUUAUCCCAUCUAUUGGCACAGCACAGGCAUUAGCUACCUUGAACAAGCUUGGUUGUUGGCUUGCUAAACAAAGUAACACUACUAGUUCUGCCCUGUCAGGCUUAUUAACAGAUAACGAUGACAUAAGGCAUGUCACUCUGCAUAACAGAGCUGCAAUUGAUUUUUUACUUUUAGCACAUGGGCAUGGUUGCGAGUAUUUUGAGGGUCUAUGCUGUAUGAAUCUGUCUGAUCAUUCUCAGUCCAUUCACACCAGCAUAUAGGCCCUUCAAAACAGUGUUGCAAAACUUCAGGUUGCCAAUGAUGGGGAUUGGCUUGGACAAAUACUUGGGAGGAUGGGGGCUUACUGGCUGGCUUAAAAAUCUGAUAAAAACAGUAAUUUAUGUUUUGGCCAUAUUAUUGAUUAUUGUGAUCUGUUUACCAUGCGUUUUACAAUGUGUGCCAAGACUGAUACAUAAAUUGGUAAAAAGAAUCUUAAUAGUUGGACAGAAAGAGUGAGAUGUAGGAGGACCGCUGGGAAGAAGGACUGAGAGUGCUGUGCAGUUAGUGAAUGAUGAGGACAUCUUGACCUUGGUGGGCCAGAAGCCUUGGAAACAGCAAACGGGAAUGUAGAAGGAGGAACAAGAUAAGAAUGCUGAGUUUGAUCUAAAGGAAAACAAGCAAGACUACAGUUAACAGAAACAUCUGCCCAUUCCUUAAGCAGUAGAAAAUUUUUGCCUUCAGCUAAAAGUGUAUAGGAUGUUGUGCUUGUAAGAUUUUACUAACCAAUAGGCUUAGGAUAGCAGUAACUAACUUGUAGCCAAUGGGUUGUCUGGCGUAUCCUGGACAGAGGGUAAUGACCAAUCAAAUGUUGACAAGUAUUGCUAGAGACUGUGUAAUUGUAGAAGAGCUGCUGCCAAUAAAGACUUCUUGUUUACACCCA